CAGAAAUCUUCCUCCUAACCAUUUACCCAGGAGAAAUGAACACAUAUGUUCACACAAAAACUUGGACGUGAAUGUUUAUAAUGGCUUUAUUCAUAAUAGCCCCAAACUGAAAACAACACAAAUGUCUUUUAAAUGAUGAAUGAGUAAACAUUGUGUGGACAUCUCUGCAGUGGAAUAUUACUCAGCAGUAGAAAGGAACAGACCAUGAAUACAUGGACAACAUGGAUUCAUUUCAAAUGCAUUGGUUGAGCAAAAGAAGCCAGACACAGAGAGGCUACAUAAAUUUACUCCCAUCUUUAUGACAUUCUGGAAAAGGCAAAACUACAAGGAUAGAAAACAGAUCAGUGAUUGCCAGCGGCUAAGCAGGAGCGUUUGUCUACAAAGGGCACAAGGGAACUCUUUUGGGGGGUGAAACUGUUCUGUACCUUGAUUUUGGUGUUAGUUACAUGACCGUAUGCAUUUGUCAAAACUCCUGGAACUGUACAACAAGAAGGACAUAGUUUAGCGUAUGUAAAUUAUACAUUGAUGAAAAUAGAUUCCUGUGUAGUGCAACCAAUGGUGGAGGAGGAACAAGGCAACAAUUAGUUGAACCUUUGUCUGCAUAUGGGUAGAUUUUCUAUUUACAACAACCGUACCUAUUAAACAGCUAGUUGCCUUUGACACAGAGUGUAGGAUGCAUCCAAAGGCCAGAAACAGUAAAAGGUAGAGGAAAGCCUCUUGGAACCAAGGAAAUACACAAGGUUAUGUGUGAUGCUCAGCGUAGACUUUCAUCCUGGAAAGGCCCAGUGUAUCAAGAUCUUUUCUGACUCUGAGACUACGUAGUAGCCUCUCCUCUCCACUCGGCAUCCGUGACAGUGGAGAGAGCGCCCCGUCUGCUUCUUCCCCCAUCAGGAUACGAAAACCUCAGACAGGACGGCACCCAUGGCGAGAGAGCAGAGACAUCCACCUAUUCAGACGUUUUCCAGCCAAAGUUCUCCUUCAGGAAUUUUCCAAUUGAUGGAGAAUAAACACAGAGUCUGGGCUUCCGUUUCCCAAACCUUAGCACCACCAGUUGGGCCUCCUUUGGUGCCUAAACCCCAGCUUGGCAUGGCGUUUGCCUGUGCACGGGUCCAGACCUGGUCUUCCCUCCCAGGCUGAAGUGGAGAACCAGCAGCAUCCCAAGGAUCCAGGUCAGAAGCACAGUCUGCCCUCUGGACAGAGCUGCCCGGCUGUAUCCCAGACGAAAACAUUCACACCCAGUAUUUCCUUCUUAGAGACUGAAAGGCCACAGACUUGAACUUAGAAAAUAGCUUUCAGAGAAUUAUACCUUCAGAGGCCUCUUCUUCUUAAGAGUUUUACAGACGUCAUUGCCCUUCAUGAUUAACAACGACAUCAGCCUCGAGAGGAAACGGAGGCUGUGCGCCUGAGGCGAGGCCCUGGGCAGGAUCCGGCCUCAUCUGUGGAUGUCGGCCGGGGAGGCGCAGCCUGGAUCCACUCACGAGGAAACAGAACAAGUGACAACGAGAAACGUUAUUCUUCAAAACUCUCAAUAUCAUAAAAAACAAAUAAAGGCUGUAGAAAUGUUUUAGAUUAAGGGAAAUCAGAGAGACGUGACAACACGUGCUGAGGGGGGAAAAUGCUAAAUAGUACGUUAUUAAGUCAAAAUAUUGAUAAAAUCAGGACACUGAUGGUAGAUUAGAAAAAAAUAUUAUCAAUGUUAAAUUUACUGAGACUGAGAACUGUGCUACAGUUACAUAAAAAUCUCUAUUCCUAGAAAACAGACACUGAAAUAUUUAAGAGGAAAUAGGAAAUAUUUAGGAGUAAAGAGCCAUGAUGUGUGCAACUUACUCUCAAAUGGUUCAGAAAAGAAAUAUUAUUUCUUAAAAUUAUUGUCAUUGUCAAUUAUUACUAAAUUGUAGUUAUUGAAAUCAUUAUUAUUGUCAAAACUAUUUCCAAAUAAAAAGCUUUUAAAAAUGUACUCCUUAAAGCACGUCAUUUUAAAUGUACGUUAACACUGUGCGCAUUGUUCAGUUACAGAAAAUGAGGAGGAGAAAGAGUGAAAACCGUGCUUUCUGGGCCCCGCAAAACCCUCCAUUGCCUGGAUCCCUAUGAAAAUGUCAGUUCUAAAUAUCACUUGGCAGGUGUUUUUCCCAGGCUUUUUAUUGGGACAGACGGCAGACACGUGCCUGCCGAUCAUUUCCAGCACGCGAUCUCCAUUUCCCCUAGAGCGUCCAAAGAAGCACUGAAGACUUACUGCGUCCCUGUCAACAUUGCCCAUUUUCCACCUUCGGGUUUGGCCAAGGCCUUUGGUAUAAAGUCAGUGAUCCCGUUGGUCAAUGACCUGGGCAGUCCCAUGACUUCCUUCUCCUCUUUCACACAGUCAUUUCCCUGCUCACUGCUACUUGGAGCGGUGGGGAGGUGCACAGAUCAAAAGGAGGCAGGAGAAAUCACCCCUAGUCCCUUGCUUUCAUCGUAGAUUUGCAGUCCUGGUGGACGUGCUGUUAACACAGGAAGAAAAAUACCUGGGCUCAGACGAAGUUUGGGGAUAUGGAUAAAAUUCUUGUAGCAAUUACCAAACCUCAGAGGAUUAACACACUAAAGUUUAAUUAUCACACUCACGAAGGUCAGUAUGGAUUGGAUGGUUAUCCUCCAGGUGAUGACUCAGGGAUCCAGCCUCCUCGACUUUUGUGUCAUUGUCAUCUUCAACACAUAUUAUACACAGUUGCCACUGCACGGGAAGAAAGAGUGGGUGGCGUGUGGAGACUGAUGCAUAGAUCCAGAAGUGGCUUAUGUUACUUUAGUCCACAUUAUACAAUCAACAAUCAAUCACAGACAUCGAUCCUCUUCCGCCGAGAGGUGGGGCCUGCAUACGUUCCCUCCAUUGAACCUGGCUGGACCUUUAUAACUACCUCUACCAGCAGAACAUGGUGGAAGUGCCAGUGCACGACUUCCAAGGUCAGGUUAUAAAAGGCAGCAUGGCUUUGGCUUGGCUGCCUCUCUCUGUGUCUCUGAAUGCUCAUCCUUGGACUCUAGGCCCCAUGCCGUGAGGAAGCCCAGGCGACAUGGAGAGGCCACAUGUGUAAUGUUCCAGCUGACAGCCUCAAAUGGUUCCCCAGCCAACAACCAGGACCAACUGCUGGACUUGUAAGUACAUGAGCUUUCAGCCUUCUAGAGGAGGUCCUAGACGCGAGGGAGCAGAAACAAGCUCUCUUCCUCUACCCAGUUGAAUUCCUGACCUGCAAAAACAAUGAGAAAUAAUAAAUUAUUAUUAUUGUUUUAAGC
ensembl:lncRNA